ACUAAUAAUAAAUUUCCUCUAAAAUUAUUUAGGUUGUGACAGAAGAUAUAAAUGGAAUCAACGUUUAUUUUAGUAACUUUUGAUGUGGGCCUAACUUAGGUAGAUGUAGAUUAACUGCUGAUGAACGAGCAAAGUUUUAAAACUUCCAGCCACCGGUGUUGAACGUAAAAUAUUAAACAUUCAUAAUACUAAUGACCAUUC